rnacentral:rRNA from 1 species
UGGGGGAUAUUGCACAAUGGGCGAAAGCCUGAUGCAGCGACGCCGCGUGGGGGAUGAAGGCUUUCGGGUUGUAAACCUCUUUCGCUAUCGAACAAGGCCCGCUUAGGGUGGGUUGAGGGUAGGUGGAGAAGAAGCGCCGGCUAACUACGUGCCAGCAGCCGCGGUAAUACGUAGGGCGCGAGCGUUGUCCGGAAUUAUUGGGCGUAAAGGGCUUGUAGGCGGCUUGUUGCGCCUGCUGUGAAAACGCGGGGCUUAACUUCGCGCGUGCAGUGGGUACGGGCAGGCUUGAGUGUGGUAGGGGUGACUGGAAUUCCAGGUGUAGCGGUGGAAUGCGCAGAUAUCUGGAGGAACACCGAUGGCGAAGGCAGGUCAUUGGGCCAUUACUGACGCUGAGGAGCGAAAGCAUGGGUAGCGAACAGG